AGCAGUAGCCGCGGGAAUACGAAGGGUGCAAGCGUUACUCGGAAUUACUGGGCGUAAAGCGUGCGUAGGUGGUGGUUUAAGUCCGUUGUGAAAGCCCUGGGCUCAACCUGGGAAUUGCAGUGGAUACUGGGUCACUAGAGUGUGGUAGAGGAUAGUGGAAUUUCCGGUGUAGCAGUGAAAUGCGUAGAGAUCGGAAGGAACAUCUGUGGCGAAGGCGACUAUCUGGGCCAACACUGACACUGAGGCACGAAAGCGUGGGGAGCAAACAGGAUUAGAUACCCCCGUAGUCCCUGACUCUUAUAC
rnacentral:rRNA from 1 species